rnacentral:tRNA from 1 species
UCCAGCGUAGCUCAAUCGGCAGAGCAUCCGGCUGUUAACCGGAGGGUUACAGGUUCGACUCCUGUCGCUGGAG